GGUUUGAUUAUAGCUCAGAUUAAUUUCUUUGGCGGGAUGCUUUACACAUGCAGAACAAGCGGCAGCACGGACUUCGGUCUGGUGGCGAGUGGCGAACGGGUGAGUAAUGUCGGAACGUGCCUAGUAGCGGGGAUAGCCGCCGAAAGCGUAGCUAAUACCGCAUACGCCCUUCAGGGGAAAGCGAGACCUUCGGGCCUCGCACUAAUGAAACAUUCGAUAUCGGAUUAGCUGGUUGAGGUGGAGUAACGGCUCACAAGGCGACGAUCCGUAGCGCUGGUUUGAGAGGACGACCAGCCACACUGGGACUGAGACGGCCCAGACUCUACGGGAGGCAGUGGGGAAUUUUGGACAAUGGAAACCUGAUCCAGCCAUCCCGUGUGCGAUGAAGGCUUCGGGUUUAUGCAUGCGGCAGGAAAAGAAGCGGCACGGGAUAAUACCCGUGCAAUGACCAAUACCUGCAGAAUAAGCACCGGCUAACUACGACGCAGCAGCCGCGAUGGCGGCGGGUUCAAGCGUUAAUCGGAAUUACUGGGCGUAGCGUGCGCAGGCGGUUCGGAAAGAAGAUGAAAUCCCAGAGCUUGCUUUGGAACACAUUUUAACCGAGCUAGAGUGUAUCAGAGGGUGAUUCACGUGUAGCAGUGAAAUGCGUAGAUAUGGAGGAACACCGAUGGCAGAGCGGCCUCACAGGAUACUGAAGCGCUCAUGCACAAAGCGUGGGGAGCAAACAGGAUUAGAUACCCUGGUAGUCCACGCCCUAAACGAUGGCUUAGCUGUUGGGGCCCUUCUGGGCCUUGGUGGCACUGUGCCGCGCGUGAAGUUGACCGCCUGGGGGUGAUACGGUCGCAAGAUUAAACUCAAAGGAAUUGACGGAGCCCGCACAAGCGGUGGAUGAUGUGGAUUAAUUCCAGUACAACGCGAAAAACCUUACUACCCUUGACAUGUGGAAUCCCGAAGAGAUUCCAGGAGUGCUCGCAAGAGAGGGCUGGAACACAGGUGCCAUGGCUGUCGUCGGCUCGUGUCGUGAGAUGUUGGGUUAAGUCCGCAACGAAGGCACACAACCCUUGUCAUUGGUUGCUACGAAGGGCACUCUGGUUAAGGACUGCCGGUGACAAACCGGAGGGAAGGUGGGACAGUCAACGUCAAGUCCUCAUAGCCCGCAUGGGCCCAGGGCUUCACGUCAUACGUGGUCGGGACAGAGGGAGUGCUAACCCGCGAGAGGGAGGCCAAUCCCAAAACCCGAAUACGUAGUCGGAUCGCAGUCUGCAACUCGACUGCGUGAAGUGGAAUCGCUGGUAAUCGCGGAUCUGGCAUGUCGCGGUGAAUACGUUCCCGGGUCUUGUACACACCGCCCGUCACACCAUGGGAGUGGGUUUUACCGUGGAGCCUAACCGUAAGGAGGGCGAUUUUACCACGGUAAGUUCAUGACUGGGGUUGUAGUCGUAACAAGGUAA
rnacentral:rRNA from 1 species